rnacentral:rRNA from 1 species
ACGGGGGGGGCAAGCGUUGUUCGGAAUUACUGGGCGUAAAGCGUGCGCAGGCGGUUUCGUAAGACAGACGUGAAAUCCCCGGGCUCAACCUGGGAACUGCGUUUGUGACUGCGAGGCUAGAGUAUGGCAGAGGGGGGUGGAAUUCCACGUGUAGCAGUGAAAUGCGUAGAGAUGUGGAGGAACACCGAUGGCGAAGGCAGCCCCCUGGGCCAAUACUGACGCUCAUGCACGAAAGCGUGGGGAGCAAACAGGA